rnacentral:pre_miRNA from 1 species
GAGGAACUAUUGGUGUGAUUUGUUCAUUUAAUCAUAUCACAGCCAUUAGUUACUUCA